rnacentral:misc_RNA from 1 species
AACGCAUAUUGCGCCCUUUUCCGAAGGGCAUGUCUGUUUGAGGGCACCAUUUAACAAAUAAUGUGUACGUAUUUGUGCACACGUUGAUGAGCUUUUCCGGAAAGACUUUUUAGUUUUUCUGGUGGCACGUAAUAAACAGCGCGGACUUUUUUCUUCGAUUCGAGUGUAGUAAAAUAUUCGACAUUUGGGUUGUUUGAAAGCGCUGCGCACUGGGUGUGGCAAAUUUUUCCCUGCCCCAAUGCCACUCUUUCCCUCUGGAAAGAAUUUUUAUAUUCUGGGCCUCAAAUCAGACAAGAGUACCCGCUGAACUUAA